rnacentral:lncRNA from 1 species
GGCAUCUAUGAAAAUUUUGAUGAAUGCUAUGAAGGCCCUUCACAGGCAUAUGUCAUAGCUUUGGAAAAUCAGAGGGAAACGGAAACCUCAAAACCUGCAGAGGCAUCCGAUUAGAUAGAGAUGUUUGUUGCUUCUAAGCAGCCACUUUGCUUCCUCCCUGAUGUUUGUUCUGAUCACUGCACGAGGUUUGUUCUAAUCACUUCACUGCCAGUUAAGGAUGCUUGCAACAUUUUAUUUGAGUUGGAUUCAGAAAAGAAGGGUAAGAAACUUCAUCAUGCACUUUGCAAUGUUUUUUCCGGUGUUUGUUGACUCUGCCAUCAUGGCUCUCUUGUGUAUAAGCUGUGGCCAAAUUGACUGAUCGUUCAAGGUUGCUCACCAUAGUUGCACAAGAACCCAAAAAAUGAAUCUAUUCAACAGGUGAAUACUUGUGCCUAAUAACUUAUUACUAUCCAAUCAGAUACAGUGUUAAAUCCGAUGUAGUUUUUCUAGGUGUAUCUACUUACACCAUUCAUUGUCUUCAUCGGAUGAACAUCUGUAACAUGUUUAAACAGUCCAAUGCUUUUCAUUGUAGUAUUCCAUCAUUUUGUAUAUAACUUUCCUCUGAUUGGGCUUCUAUUUCCAGUUUUUUUCUGCAGAGAGCCCCUCAAUUUGCAGAAAGUAAAUCAUAUCUGUCGCCAAAUGCACUGGACCGGUCUGGCUGCUGAAGCGGUCCAGCGUUAUUCUGGUUGAGCAAACGAAGCAACAGGUGCAAUCCCCUUCCUACGCCAUAAAAUGCUGCACUGCUUCUGCUUUGGAUGCUUUAAUUCCCUUUUCAGUUUUCUUUCUCCAGGAACUGUUUCUCCGCAAUAAUCUCUUUGAAGGCUGAUGCAGCAUAUAUACCCUUCCUUUUUCCCUGUUGAAGACGGUGGAUCCUGUUUCAACCCCUAUUGCAUUUCGACGCUUUGGAGAUUUCCUCUCUUUCAAGCUGGUCGGUUCCACCACAAUCUUUGUAAGAGUCAUAGAAGCCACCAAGCCUUGCAGACCUCACCUCUCG